rnacentral:rRNA from 1 species
AGCAGCCGCGGUAAUUCCAGCUCCAAUAGCGUAUAUUAAAGUUGUUGCAGUUAAAAAGCUGGUAGUUGAAUUUCGGGGUUAGUAGGUUGGUCAUGCCUCUGGUAUGUACUGGUCUCACUGAUUCCUCCUUCCUGAUGAACCUUAAUGCCAUUAAUUUGGUGUUUUGGGGAAUUUGGACUGUUACUUUGAAAAAAUUAGAGUGUUUAAAGCAAGCUAACGCUUGAAUACAUUAGCAUGGAAUAAUGAAAUAGGACGUUCGAUCCUAUUUUGUUGGUUUCUAGGAUUGACGUAAUGAUUAAUAGGGAUAGUUGGGGGCAUUAGUAUUCAAUUGUCAGAGGUGAAAUUCUUGGAUUUAUUGAAGACUAACUACUGCGAAAGCAUUUGCCAAGGAUGUUUUCAUUAAUCAAGAACGAAAGUUAGGGGAUCGAAGACGAUCAGAUACCGUCGUAGUCUUAACCAUAAACUAUGCCGACUAGGGAUCGGAUGAUGUUAAUUUUUUAAUGACUCAUUCGGCGCCUUACG